GUUGUGAAGACAUCCAUUUAUAGCACAUGUUAGGCUGAUGUGGGUGAUGUGAACUGGAAUCUAAGC
rfam:Otolemur garnettii contig161419, whole genome shotgun sequence.